rnacentral:tRNA from 1 species
GCGCCCGUAGCUCAGCGGAUAGAGCGUCACGCUUCGGACGUGAAAGUCGGGGGUUCGACUCCCUCCGGGCGCGCCA